UGCUAUUAAUAAAAGAUUAAUUAAUGAUUAAAUUAUUAAUUGACUUAAUUUGAUUGAGCAAAGAGCUUUGGAUCAAGUCCAAUUGAAUCGGAUUCAGUUUGACAUAGAUUGGAUUUGAUUUGAUCAAGCCUAAUUCAAGAGAAACUUAUUCUUGAUUUGAUUAGGACUUGAAUUCAAUUAAUUCCUAAUUGGAUUAAAAAUUUAUUGAGAUAAUUAGAUUUCUAAUUAGAUUAGGUUCCUUCCUCU
rnacentral:lncRNA from 1 species